CCUAACGCCGCGCCGACGCGCCGCCCUUCCUCGCGGGGUUUUCCCAAGAGGAAUAGCGGAGGCGAGGCGCCGCUCCGCCCUGGCUCGGCUUUGGAAGCGGCACAGAGGGAUUAACCUGGAAGGAAGGGCCACCUCGCGAGAGAAACUGAUAUCCGUCCGCCGGCGGGUGACCCCGCCCUCCAGAAGAUGGCAUGGAUUUUGAGGUUCAAGGAAACAGUUGCUUCCUGCACUGGAGAGCAGCUAUCUCACCUUGUUGACCCUUUACAGCAUCAAGCUGUCUCAGAUACAGGAGAGUUUCUGGCAUGACUCAUCCUGGUAUCGCAGCUCCCAAGAAGAUACAUCGGGGGAGCAGAAUUGGAAGGGUUUACGGAGCACAGCAGGCCUCUGCGAUACGGCUGGUAUUACCCACACUUCACUACAAAUAGUUUUACAGGAAGGACCAUCUGGUCAUCAGCUGCCCAAAUGCACAUUUGCUUGCCCUCCUCCACCUGUUCAGUGUGUAAUUCAGCCUCUCCCUGCCAGGUGCUCUCCCAUCAGAGGUCCUCCUGAGCGAGGGGACGAGAGGACGCAGCACAUCCCCCGGAACAGCGGCAGGCACAGAUGCCUCUCCGAGAUCUCUGUUCUUAAGGAGGAAUAAAUCCCAGCUUAUCUUCAAAAUGGAGGCGAUGUAUAGGACCAGAAGGUAACUGCCUAGCUCAGAGAUCAACCUCGUGUUAUUCCAAGCAACUGCAUCGCUGCUCAAAUGGAAAGGUCGGGUCCAGCAUCUGAGCCGACAUCAUGCAUAGCAGGCAUGCGCAUCACUGAUGAUGUCACUAUGUUCUGGGAAGCCCAUUUACCCGAAGCUCUGUGCCAUUUAAGAGAUGUUUCUACCCACAGCCAUUCACAGGUGAGCCAACAGUGUACCUGCCAGUCAGAUCUGUACUACCUUAGCACUGGGUUUCUCUGUGCAAACUAAGCCAUCAACCUCUAAAAACCACCCAAGUGACUUGUUUCAGGACUGCCCUGACAUACCUGUGUGUCCAUACUGGACCACAGCCACACACUCUGAAAAAAUGUUUUAAUAACAUAACUGUAACAGCUAAGCCACCUUCAACAAUGCCCAAUUAAAGGAGGCCUUAAAAUGA